AUACGGAGGAUGCGAGCGUUAUCCGGAUUUAUUGGGUUUAAAGGGAGCGUAGGUGGACAGUUAAGUCAGUUGUGAAAGUUUGCGGCUCAACCGUAAAAUUGCAGUUGAUACUGGUUGUCUUGAGUACAGUAGAGGUGGGCGGAAUUCGUGGUGUAGCGGUGGAAUGCUUAGAUAUCACGAAGAACUCCGAUCGCGAAGGCAGCUCACCGGGCCGGAACUGACACUGAUGCUCGAAAGUGCGGGUAUCAAACAGGAUUAGAUACCCUGGUAGUCCGCACAGUAAACGAUGAAUACUCGCUGUUUGCGAUACACUGUAAGCGGCCAAGCGAAAGCGUUAAGUAUUCCACCUGGGGAGUACGCCGGCAACGGUGAAACUCAAAGGAAUUGGCGGGG
rnacentral:rRNA from 1 species